GAUGAACGCUGGCGGCGUGCCUAAUACAUGCAAGUCGAGCGAACAGACGAGGAGCUUGCUCCUCUGACGUUAGCGGCGGACGGGUGAGUAACACGUGGAUAACCUACCUAUAAGACUGGGAUAACUUCGGGAAACCGGAGCUAAUACCGGAUAAUAUAUUGAACCGCAUGGUUCAAUAGUGAAAGACGGUUUUGCUGUCACUUAUAGAUGGAUCCGCGCCGCAUUAGCUAGUUGGUAAGGUAACGGCUUACCAAGGCAACGAUGCGUAGCCGACCUGAGAGAGUGAUCGGCCACCCUGGAACUGAGACACGGUCCAGACUCCUACGGGAGGCAGCAGUAGGGAAUCUUCCGCAAUGGGCGAAAGCCUGACGGAGCGACGCCGCGUGAGUGAUGAAGGUCUUCGGAUCGUAAAACUCUGUUAUUAGGGAAGAACAAAUGUGUAAGUAACUAUGCACGUCUUGACGGUACCUAAUCAGAAAGCCACGGCUAACUACGUG
rnacentral:rRNA from 1 species